GAUGAACGCUAGCGGCAGGCUUAAUACAUGCAAGUCGAGGGGCAGCAGCUUUAUAGCAAUAUAGAGGCUGGCGACCGGCAAACGGGUGCGGAACACGUACACGACCUUCCUUUAAGAGGGGGAUAGCCCAUAGAAAUGUGGAUUAAUACCCCGUAACAUAUCGGUGUGGCAUCACACUGUUAUUAUAGUUUCGACGCUUGAAGAUGGGUGUGCGGCUGAUUAGGUAGUUGGCGGGGUAAAGGCCCACCAAGCCUUCGAUCAGUAGCUGAUGUGAGAGCAUGAUCAGCCACACGGGCACUGAGACACGGGCCCGACUCCUACGGGAGGCAGCAGUAAGGAAUAUUGAUCAAUGGACGCAAGUCUGAACCAGCCAUGCCGCGUGAAGGAUGAAGGUCCUCUGGAUUGUAAACUUCUUUUAUAGGGGGCGAAAAAAGGGAAUUCUUUCUCACUUGACAGUACCCUAUGAAUAAGCACCGGCUAACUCCGUGCCAGCCGCCGCAGUAA
rnacentral:rRNA from 1 species